AGAGCAUCCCAGCAGUGCCAUCACAACACAGGGCUCGAAUGUGGACAGGAGGAGGACCUAAGUGGACCCGGAGGCUGAGCUGGCCUCGCAGCACUGGUGGUGGGGGAGGGCUGAUGGUCAGGACUCUGGGUCUUUGGCACUGCUGCCUAGGCCGUGGCCCUCAGUCUGCCCAUCUGUGAAAUGAGGGGGAGCUGGUCCUGACUGCCUCCCAGGGACCCUGUGAAAAGCCGCUCUGAACUCCUUGCCAGAGAGGAGGUUUGCCGGUGCCACAAUCCAGCAUUUCUGGGGUUCACUCUGCUCUGGGUACUGUGUAAAGGACUCCACAGCCAUCAACUUCCCUUCAUCCUUGCCGUGUCUUUGAAAGAGCUGAGAUUUCUUUACAUCACAGUGGUUCAAGGAGAAAAACACAGCCAGAUCCUUCCUCAUCUCAACAUAAAUUAAACCCAGAGGCAGUCAGCGCCACAGUCCACACUCGUAACCGUUACACUCACCUGGAAAUAAAAGUAUUUUUGUGCGGGGACUGCAAGGACUAAGCCCGGCCGCACUCCGAGUUUCUCCUCCUCACAGACUGGAUGAUGAGAGGCACAGCUGAGUCCGGAGCAGACUGAGCCACCUAAGAGGGGAGGAACCGCUGCAGAGAAACCGUGUUAAGCCUUUUUGAAGUUCCAGAGGGAGAACAAGAGAGCGGAGGCUCCUGGUGGCUGGUGACAGGUGCUGAUUUGUUCUGGGGAAAGAGCACAGAAAAGUGCCUGGAGAGGAGGCGGGGCCAAAAUGGGAUGUAGGCGAUGGGAAGGACCCUCAAGACACAGUCCUGGGCUCCCAGGCAGGACCAACCCCCAAACCUGUCCCCCCAGGAGCCUGCAGAGCCACUGCCCUGACAGGGGACACCUCACUUCCUCUCCUUGCAGCUGCUCUUGGCUGGGAGAGCAGAGAACAGGGGACAGGAGAGAAGCCCCGAGAGUACUGAAGCUGAGGCUGGGGCGGUCUUCACUUCCCUCUUUCCUCGGCCCUUUUCCUGUUCUCUUGUCUUGUCUCUCUUUCUCUACUUUCCUUCUCCCUAGCCCAGUCUCUCACCGCUCUUCAGCCUCUGGGCCUUUCCUUCUUCCUCUCUUGCCCUCAUUCUUCCUUCUCUGUCCCUCUUGUCUUCUCUUUUACCUCUUCUCUUCUUCCCUCCUUCCUACAGCUAUGCCCUCUUCCCUCCUUUCUCUUGUCCCCAACCAGGGCAUUAGAAAUGCAUUCCAGUUACACUGAUCUGAUCACUGCAUAUUGUAUGCAUGCAUCAAAAUAUCACAUGUACCCCAGAAAUAUGUAAAUUACUGCAUAUCAAUAAAAAGAAAUGUAGCUUCUUUGCCUCACAUACAGAAAA
rnacentral:lncRNA from 1 species